rnacentral:rRNA from 1 species
AGAGUUUGAUCCUGGCUCAGGACGAACGCUGGCGGCGUGCUUAACACAUGCAAGUCGAACGAUGAAGCCAGCUUGCUGGUGGAUUAGUGGCGAACGGGUGAGUAACACGUGGGUGAUCUGCCCCAAACUUUGGGAUAAGCCUGGGAAACUGGGUCUAAUACCGAAUAUUACCUUCUCCUGCAUGGGGGUUGGUGGAAAGCUCCGGCGGUUUGGGAUGGGCCCGCGGCCUAUCAGCCUGUUGGUGGGGUAAUGGCCUACCAAGGCGACGACGGGUAGCCGGCCUGAGAGGGCGACCGGCCACACUGGGACUGAGACACGGCCCAGACUCCUACGGGAGGCAGCAGUGGGGAAUAUUGCACAAUGGGCGCAAGCCUGAUGCAGCGACGCCGCGUGAGGGAUGACGGCCUUCGGGUUGUAAACCUCUUUCACCAGGGACGAAGCGAAAGUGACGGUACCUGGAGAAGAAGCACCGGCCAACUACGUGCCAGCCGCCGCGGUAAUAC